rnacentral:rRNA from 1 species
UACGUAGGGAGCGAGCGUUGUCCGGAAUUAUUGGGCGUAAAGGGUUCGUAGACGGUUUGUCGCGUCGGGAGUGAAAACCAUGGGCUUAACUCAUGGCUUGCUUUCGAUACGGGCAGACUUGAGGUAUGCAGAGGAGAACGGAAUUCCUGGUGUAGCGGUGAAAUGCGCAGAUAUCAGGAGGAACACCGAUGGCGAAGGCAAGUCUCUGGGCAGUAACUGACGCUGAGGAGCGAAAGUAUGGGGAGCGAACAGG